rnacentral:tRNA from 1 species
GGAAGGCAUUCGUAUCUGGUGGUGCGGCUCGGCUUCAAACCCAGUGAGGGGUGUCAGCCACUCCUCGGUCGGUUCGACUCCGGCUGCCUUCCG